rnacentral:rRNA from 1 species
GACGAACGCUGGCGGCGUGCUUAACACAUGCAAGUCGAACGGAAAGGCCCUGCUUUUGUGGGGUGCUCGAGUGGCGAACGGGUGAGUAACACGUGAGUAACCUGCCCUUGACUUUGGGAUAACUUCAGGAAACUGGGGCUAAUCCCGGAUAGGAGCUCCUGCUGCAUGGUGGGGGUUGGAAAGUUUCGGCGGUUGGGGAUGGACUCGCGGCUUAUCAGCUUGUUGGUGGGGUAGUGGCUUACCAAGGCUUUGACGGGUAGCCGGCCUGAGAGGGUGACCGGCCACAUUGGGACUGAGAUGCGGCCCAGACUCCUACGGGAGGCAGCAGUGGGGAAUAUUGCACAAUGGGCGGAAGCCUGAUGCAGCAACGCCGCGUGCGGGAUGACGGCCUUCGGGUUGUAAACCGCUUUCGCCUGUGACGAAGCGUGAGUGACGGUAAUGGGUAAAGAAGCACCGGCUAACUACGUG